rnacentral:lncRNA from 10 species
GCAGCUGCCAUAAAUAGGCAGCUAGGGCGCGCUCGCUUCAGCCCAAUUGCUAACUACAAGUAGGGUAGUCUGUCCUCAGAGUGCUUGUAAAUGCAUGGCAGGACUGCUACUGGGCCACCUGGGUCCCUGUCAAUGACUUGUGCUUCAGCCUUGGAGGCAGCAGCACCCCGCUUUCAGCAGAGGAUGUCUGUGGGGCUCCAGCAAAAGAAUUUUUUAAAAUGGCAUAAGCUUGCAAGGACAAAGGCAAUGGAAAAGAAGCUGACACACAACAUUUCAGAAACUGGAAGCAGCCAGGUAGGUCAUAAUUGACUUGGGAACAGAGUGAGCAGAAACCUAAGGCAAGUAAGGGAAAUGCAUCAGUAAGCUAAUUUACUCCAUAGAAUUCCAGGAAGACUUGGAAAAUUGAGGAUCCAGGGACUUAUGGAAGUGGGGACACUGGUGGGUUUCAAAAACAGGAGGGUCAGUUGAAAAUUUAUAAAUAAAGCAGUUAAAAUAUUUUCACCCACCUCAUGUCAUUGGAUGACUACCUUUCACUCACGCCGGUUCUAAACAUACACCCUCUGGAGAGGCUGAUUCCAAAGGGAUUCAGGACUCAGAUGUGGCAACCAUUGCUGAGAAAAAGGCUACAAUAUUAGAACCAGACUACCAUAUUAGAACCAAGUACAUAUUCUGCAUUGAGAAACCCCAGCUCCUUCUCAUACUCAGCUGGUAGAAUUAUGGCACCAAAGAGAUUGGAGUAAGAUCACCAGGAAAACCAACAAUCCAAGAAAAAAAAUCUAAAAACGGCAACAGGUUUUUGGAUGUCCUUCAGUGAAAUGUCCAAGCAAGAAUAUCCCCAUGAAGCUUUCCAGUCAACAAACCUUGUACACACACAGGAUUUUCACUUGGCUUUCUAAUGUCUAACUCUUCAAUACGAACUGACUGCCAAGGAUUAUCAGACAAUGUGAGGAAAACCUCUCGCAUAAAAGACCAAAAAACAGAAAAGAAACUAAGAUGACACAAGAACUGUGAGGUGAGCAACAGAAAGUCUAAAGCAAAUUCUAAUAAAUACCAGAAGGUAACACAUCCAUGAAAUGGAUGGAAAUGAGCCAUGUAAGAAUUUGACUUGUAAACAAUGUAACUAUAUUACUCCUACAAAUUUAUUUCUUUAAUUUAAAAAACGAAUUAG